CGUCUUGGGAUCCUGCAGGGGGAGGGGGCUGUGAAUGUGCAGGUUGUGUGUAGACGUGGUGGUGUGGAUAGCUGUGUGGGUGUGUGUGCAAGUGUAGCCAUUGUGUGGGUAGCCGUGUGGGUAUAUGCAUAGGGUAUGAGUGCUGGGUGUAGACGUGGCAUGGGUGUGUGUGCAGGUCUGUUGGGUGUAGACAUGGUAGUGCGGGUAGCUGUGUGGGUGUAUGUGCAAGUGUAGACAUGGCGUGGGGGAGUGUAGGUGUUGGGCCUCUGGUAGUGUGGGUGUGUGCAGGUGUGGGGUGGUGUGGGUGCAGACGUCUGGGGGGUUGUGUGCGGGUGUUGGGUAUCCAUGUGUGGGGCUGUGUAGACGUCUAUGCAGGUGUGAGUGCAGGUGUAGACGGCGUAUGUGCAGGUGUUGUGUGUCUGGUGUGGGUAGUUGGGGUGCAUGCAGGUAUGUGUGUUGUGUCUAGACGUGUGGGUAGCUGUGGGGGUGUGCAGGUGUGUAUACUGGGUAUAGACGUGGCAUGGGUUGCUGGGUGUGUGUAGGUGUUGGGUAUUUGCAGGUGAGUGUUGGGCGUGGUGUGUGCAGGUGAGUGUUGGGCACGGGCAUGGUGGUGUGUGCAGGUGAGUGUUGGGUGCGGGCGUGGUGGUGUUUGCAGGUGAGUUGGGUGUAGGCGUGUGUGCAGGUGAGUGUUGGGCACGGGCGCAGUGGUGUGUGCAGGUGAGUGUUGGGCGGGGGCGUGGUGUGUGCAGGUGAGUGUUGGGCGCGGGCGUGGUGGUUGCAGGUGAGUGUUGGGCACGGGCAUGGUGGUUGCAGGUAAGUGUUGGGUGUGGGCGUGGUGGUGUGUGCAGGUGAGUGUUGGGCGCGGUGGUGUGUGCAGGUGAGUGUUGGGCGCAGGCGUGGUAGUUGCGGGUGAGUGUUGGGUGUAGGCAUGGCGGUGUCUGCAGGUAAGUGUUGUGCGCAGGCGUGGUGUGUGCAGGUGAGUGUUGGGUGCGGGCAUGGUGGUGUGUGCAGGUGAGUGUUGGGCGCGGGCAUGGUGGUAUUUGCAGGUGAGUGUUGGGUGCGGGCGUGGUGGUGUUUGCAGGUGAGUUGGGUGUAGGCGUGUGUGCAGGUGAGUGUUGGGCGCGGGCGCAGUGGUGUGUGCAGGUGAGUGUUGGGCGCGGGCGUGGUGGUUGCAGGUGAGUGUUGGGCACGGGCAUGGUGGUUGCAGGUAAGUGUUGGGUGUGGGCGUGGUGGUGUGUGCAGGUGAGUGUUGGGCGCGGUGGUGUGUGCAGGUGAGUGUUGGGCGCAGGCGUGGUAGUUGCGGGUGAGUGUUGGGUGUAGGCAUGGCGGUGUCUGCAGGUAAGUGUUGUGCGCAGGCGUGGUGUGUGCUGGUGAGUGUUGGGUGCGGGCAUGGUGGUGUGUGCAGGUGAGUGUUGGGUGCGGGCGUGGUGGUGUGUGCAGGUGAGUGUUGGGUGCGGGCGUGGUGGUGUGUGCAGGUGAGUGUUGGGUGUUGGCGUGGUGGUGUGUGCAGGUGAGUGUUGGGUGCGGGCAUGGUGGUUGCAGGUGAGUGUUGGGUGUAGGGGUGGUGUGUGCAGGUGAGUGUUGGGCGCGGGCGUGGUGUGUGCGGGUGAGUGUUGGCGUGGUGUUUGCAGGUGAGCGUUGGGCGUGGUGUGUGCAGGUGAGUGUUGGGUGCAGGCAUGGUGUUUGCAGGUGAGUGUUGGGUGUGGGCGUGGUGGUGUGUGCAGGGGAGUGUUGGGUGUGGGCAUGGUGGUGUGUGCAGGUGAGUGUGGUCCUGUCCUGCUCACCCAGCACAUCCCUGUGUGUCUCUGUCCCAGUGGGAAGCUGACGGUGUUCACUGUGCUGUGUGAGCAGUACCAGCCAUCCCUCCGGCGGGACCCCAUGUACAACGAGUACCUCGACCGCAUAGGACAGCUGUUCUUCGGCGUCCCGCCCAAGCAGACGUCUUCCUACGGG
rnacentral:lncRNA from 1 species